rnacentral:rRNA from 1 species
GACAUAGGUGGCGAACGUUAUCCGGAAUUAUUGGGCGUAAAGGAUGCGUAGAUGGCGUAACAAGUUAUCGGUGGUAAAUUGGGGCCUAACCUCAUGGAAGCCGUUAAUACUAUUAUGCUAGAGUUAAGGAGAAGUUAAUGGAACUCCAUGUGAAGCGGUAAAAUGCGACGAUAUAUGGAAGAACACCGAUAAGGCGAAGGCAGUUAACUAUUCUGUUACUGACAUUGAGGCAUGAAAGCGUGGGGAGCAAAACGG